GACGAACGCUGGCGGCGUGCUUAACACAAGCAAGUCGAACGGAAAGGCCUCUUUCGGGGGGUACUCGAGUGGCGAACGGGUGAGUAACACGUGAGUAACCUGCCCUUGACUUUGGGAUAACUUCAGGAAACUGGGGCUAAUACCGGAUAGGAGCUCCUGCUGCAUGGUGGGGGUUGGAAAGUUUCGGCGGUUGGGGAUGGACUCGCGGCUUAUCAGCUUGUUGGUGGGGUAGUGGCUUACCAAGGCUUUGACGGGUAGCCGGCCUGAGAGGGUGACCGGCCACAUUGGGACUGAGAUACGGCCCAGACUCCUACGGGAGGCAGCAGUGGGGAAUAUUGCACAAUGGGUGGAAGCCUGAUGCAGCAACGCCGUGUGCGGGAUGACGGCCUUCGGGUUGUAAACCGCUUUCGCUCAUGACGAAGCUUUGUGUGACGGUAGUGGGUAAAGAAGCACCGGCUAACUACGUG
rnacentral:rRNA from 1 species